AGUCGAGCGAGGCGGCCCGCAAGGGUCAGUCGAGCGGCGAACGGGUGAGUAACGCGUGGAUAACCUGCCCAGAGGUGGGGGAUAACCCGGGGAAACUCGGGCUAAUACCGCAUGAUACCGAGAGGUCAAAGGGGGCUCGCAAGGGCUCUCGCCAUUGGAGGGGUCCGCGUCCGAUUAGCUAGUUGGUAGGGUAAUGGCCUACCAAGGCGACGAUCGGUAGCCGGCCUGAGAGGGUGAUCGGCCACACUGGAACUGAGACACGGUCCAGACUCCUACGGGAGGCAGCAGUGGGGAAUUUUGCGCAAUGGGCUAACGCCUGACGCAGCAACGCCGCGUGGAGGAUGAAGGUCUUUGGAUUGUAAACUCCUGUCAGCAGGGAAAAAGCGAAUCGGCCUAACACGCCGGUGAGUUGAUUGUACCUGCAGAGGAAGCCCCGGCUAACUCUGUGCCAGCAGCCGCGGUAAUACAGAGGGGGCAAGCGUUAUUCGGAAUUAUUGGGCGUAAAGGGCGCGUAGGCGGCUUGGCAAGUGGAUGGUGAAAUCCCUCGGCUUAACCGAGGAACUGCCGUCCAAACUGCUUUGCUUGAGGCCGGGAGAGGCGAGUGGAAUUCCCAGUGUAGCGGUGAAAUGCGUAGAUAUUGGGAGGAACACCAGUGGCGAAGGCGGCUCGCUGGACCGGUUCUGACGCUGAUGCGCGAAAGCGUGGGGAGCAAACGGGAUUAGAUACCCCGGUAGUCCACGCUGUAAACGAUGAGUGCUUGGUGUAGCGGGUAUCGACCCCUGCUGUGCCGAAGUCAACACAUUAAGCACUCCGCCUGGGGAGUACGGUC
rnacentral:rRNA from 1 species